rnacentral:rRNA from 1 species
UGCACUCCAGGCGUCGAGCGGCGGACGGGUGAGUAACGCGUGAGAAUCUGCCCAUUAGUGGGGGAUAACCCGGGGAAACUCGGGCUAAUACCGCAUACGUCCUACGGGACAAAGCAGGGGACCUUUUGGCCUUGCGCUGAUGGAUGAGCUCGCGUCGGAUUAGCUUGUUGGUGAGGUAAAGGCUCACCAAGGCGACGAUCCGUAGCUGGUCUGAGAGGAUGAUCAGCCACACCGGGACUGAGACACGGCCCGGACUCCUACGGGAGGCAGCAGUGGGGAAUCUUGGACAAUGGGGGCAACCCUGAUCCAGCCAUGCCGCGUGUGUGAAGAAGGCCUUCGGGUUGUAAAGCACUUUCAGCAGGGAGGAAGGCUUUGGGUUAAUACCCUGGAGUACUUGACGUUACCUGCAGAAGAAGCACCGGCUAAUUUCGUGCCAGCAGCCGCGGUAAUACGAAAGGUGCAAGCGUUAAUCGGAAUUACUGGGCGUAAAGCGCGCGUAGGCGGUGUGUUAAGUCGGAUGUGAAAGCCCAGGGCUCAACCUUGGAAUUGCAUCCGAUACUGGCACGCUAGAGUGCAGUAGAGGGAGGUGGAAUUUCCGGUGUAGCGGUGAAAUGCGUAGAGAUCGGAAGGAACACCAGUGGCGAAGGCGG